GGAAGCAAAGAGAAUUCUCUAGAUUUAGAGAGAUGGAGUAUGUGAAGGUUACCACUGUGUCACAAGAGACACUCCUGGAAAAGGCCCUCUCGAAUCUGGUCAAUGUAAGGAAGGCUGUUCAGCAGGUAGGCCAUGGCAUUUCUCAGUCAUCAUCAUUAGGCCCUGCCUGUAAAAUCUCUUGUAUCCUGGAGAGCCCUAGCUCCUUCUGUGAGGUCACAAGUGUUGUUGUGACUGCAUCUGCCUCUCAGAUAUUCCUUCAGUACCUCUAAGGCUUACUAAUUGGCCUUUAAUUCAGAGUGAACAGCCAUUUUUGAGGGAGAAAAGGAGGAUGAAGAGGUCAGAGAUGGAAAGAAGGAAGAUGCCCUUCUAUCUUGGUGUAAAAAAAGGAAGAAAUACGUGGUCCAUUGGAGAGCUAAAUUAGUCCUGGUGAUCCAAAGAAGGAGCUCAGGGAGGCACUGAACAUGCCGCAAGGUACACAUGACUUCAUCUUCAGCCUGCACUCCACUGAGAGGACCUGCUUCCUCAAAGAUCUGCACUGAUUCAAGUCCACUGCCAUCGCCCAAGAAGAAUCAGUAUACUACCACCCACUCUAGCACAACUAAAAUAUGUAUUCUUCAACAAUGUAAUACCUUUCAUAGGAUUUGACUUUAUGGAUAAUGCAAUUAUGAUUGUUGCAGGAACACAAAUUUAUGAUUUAUUCAAAACAUGAUUUAUUUUGAAAUAUUUAAAAAUGUCAAUCAGAAUGUUAUUUUUCCUUCUAUGUAUCAACACAUUAUUUAUUUCUCAGUUAUUGAUGCUGUACUUUAAUGACGUGUGGUUUGCUUAUUUCUUAUUUGCCAUGCAUGGGAUACCUGUUUAUCUCUUUGGCUUUUACUUAUAUAUUUUGGACCUUGGACAUUUAAUCAUUUAAUCAGCCUUGUUAAAUAACAGGGAGACAAUAUAGCAACAAAACCUAUUCACUUAUAUCAUCAUAGGCUAACUGUCGAUGAUGCUUUGAUGAGGGUCAAACUCAAACACAAAUCUCCAUCUCAGUUCAGGCAAGGACAUUUUUGUCCUUCAGUCAAAUGGGGCGAACAUUCUUUUCUGCCUACUGUCCUGAUGCGUUUGCUGAAAAACCAAAAAAUUGUCACCAAUGCGUGCUGAGCUGUACAGUCAAUGAUGGAUAAGAGAGUGAUAUGUUCAUGAAUAAGCGGCCUAAGACAGGAGGGCCGACAUUAGCUGCUGCCUUAUCCCAUGAUGGGCCCUGGUUACAAGAUUCUCUUGGCCAUGUGAUAAAUAACACCCCAACCUAAGACAGACGCAGUUUCCAAGGGGCCAUUCCAGGACAUACAUGGCCAUUGGUCACUUUUACGUUUGAAUAUAAGUAAGGUUAUGAUUGACUAGGUUCAUGGAAAAUCCCCAGGCAGCUGUUGAAGACUAAUACAAAUUUGGUGGUCAAGAAAAAUAAUAAUAUGAUAAUGUUGUCCUGAUGAUUAAUAAUACGACACACCUGUGAACUCUCUGACAUCCUUUCAACAUCAGUUCUGUGACCAAACGAAUCCUGUGUUCUUGCCCUGCGUAAAUGUUUCUUAGUUUCCUCCCUCCUUCUGUUACCCCUGUUAUGGUAUAAAUUCAGCCUUGGAGAAAAAUAAAAUUGAC